rnacentral:rRNA from 1 species
GGGGAAUUUUGGACAAUAGGGGCAACCCUGAUCCAGCCAUGCCGCGUGAGUGAAGAAGGCCUUCGGUUUGUAAAGCUCUUUCGGCCGGGAAGAAAUCGCGCAGGCUAAUACCCUGUGUGGAUGACGGUACCGGAAUAAGAAGCACCGGCUAACUACGUGCCAGCAGCCGCGGUAAUACGUAGGGUGCGAGCGUUAAUCGGAAUUACUGGGCGUAAAGCGUGCGCAGGCGGUUUCGUAAGACAGAGGUGAAAUCCCCGGGCUCAACCUGGGAACUGCCGUUGGGAAUGCGAGGCUAGAGUACGGGAGGGGGGGGGUGAAUUCCACGUGUAGCAGUGAAAUGCGUAGAGGUGUGGAGGAACACCGAUGGCGAAGGCAGCCCCCUGGGCCGAUACUGACGCUCAUGCACGAAAGCGUGGGGAGCAAACA